UCGUCGACUUUGGAUAACACGACCCGCGCACACGUUACGGAAAGCCGUCGGGGAGGACUCGCCUCCUCGGCCCCCACCGGCCUUGGCCGGCCGCGCCCUCUGGGCGGUGCUGGUCAUGUGUCGGAAUACGGCGCAGGAUGACGCCAAGGAACACAUAUUGCUGAGGCAGACGGCGAUCCCGUGCUCGGGUGUCGUGUCGGCUGUCGAGGCUCGGAAAAGGAA
rnacentral:misc_RNA from 1 species